rnacentral:rRNA from 1 species
ACGUAGGGGGCAAGCGUUGUCCGGAAUUAUUGGGCGUGAAGGGCACGCAGGCGGUCUUCUAAGUCUGAUGUGAAAUCCCACGGCUUAACCGUGGAUGGUCAUUGGAAACUGGGGGACUUGAGUGCAGAAGAGGAAAGUGGAAUUCCACGUGUAGCGGUGAAAUGCGUAGAGAUGUGGAGGAACACCAGUGGCGAAGGCGACUUUCUGGUCUGUAACUGACGCUGAGGCGCGAAAGCGUGGGGAGCAAACAGGA